UCUGGAGCAGGGGACAGAUGAACCUGGGGUCUGCGGAAGGAGAAGGCACCCUUGCAGGGGAAAUGUGAUGGUCAGCAGAACCUCACGAGACAGAGGCUGGCUUCCCGUUGGCUUCUCCAGGAAGCAGGCACUGUCUGUCUCUCCCAGCCCUGACACUGCAGUAGCCUGAUACGAGGCCAGGAGCUGGGGAGCCUCUGGGGAGCCAGCAGCUCCCAAGUGGCUGCAGGGUCACAGCAGGGGACAACUCCUUACUCCUCAGCCCCUUCCACUCCCCUCUCCAGUCCUGGAAACACAGAGUAGUUACUGAGCUGAUGGACGCAAAGCAGUCACUUGACCCCUCCUUCGCGUGUUUAUCCCCGUGGAGCUGGGAAUGGUGGCCUCCCAAGACUGGACCCAUGACUGAAACGGAGCCGUAUGAUAAUCUCUAGGUCCAACUAUGUUGCUGCAAAUGGCAUUAAAGGGCUCUGUGUUGUGGCACCUCCAGAGACUGGGAUGGGAUCAGCACCGUGAUAUUCCAUUGCUGUUGCUGUGCAUGUGAAAACUUUCAAUGGACAAUGCAGUGGGUUGAAGGACGCCCCCUCCACAAAAAAAAAGAUGUGGAACCUGUGAUGACCUUAUAUGGAAAAAGGGUCUCUGAAGAUAUAAUUAAGGAACUCAAGACAAGAUCAUGCUGGAUUAGGAUGGGCCCUAAAUCCAAUGACAAGUGUCCUUAUAAGAGAAGAGACAAAUGAGAAGGGAAGAUGUCACACAGAGGAGAAGGCCACGCACAUGAAGACAGAGGCAGAGAUUGGAGCGAUGCAUCUACAAGGCAAGGAAUGCCCAGAAUUUCCAGCAAUCGGCAGAAGCCGGGAGAAAGGCAUGGAAUGAAUUCUCCAGAAGGAACCACCCUGCUGACAUCUUAAUAUCAGACUUUUGGCCUCCAG